rnacentral:piRNA from 1 species
GACAUCCAGCCAUAGGUGUGGGAUG